rnacentral:SRP_RNA from 7 species
CCGUGCUAAGCGGGGAGGUAGCGGUGCCCUGUACCUGCAAUCCGCUCUAGCGGGGCCGAAUCCCUUCUCGAGGUUCGUUUACUUUAAGGUCUGCCUUAAGUAAGUGGUGUUGACGUUUGGGUCCUGCGCAAUGGGAAUUCAUGAACCAUGUCAGGUCCGGAAGGAAGCAGCAUUAAGUGAAACCUCUCAUGUGCCGCAGGGUUGCCUGGGCCGAGCUAACUGCUUAAGUAACGCUUAGGGUAGCGAAUCGACAGAAGGUGCACGG